rnacentral:lncRNA from 1 species
GUCAGGCAGUAUCAAAUACUAUUAAAAAUAAUGACCAUAAAAACGUAACAACAAAUGUGCAAUUUACAAUCAAGCGUCAAUAAAAAGCUUAAGAGAACAAAUUUUAAUGGGGCUUAAGAUAAGGGUUGAGAUGGGAAAGGAGUUAGGACAAUGUUAGGAAGGAUCUAGGAAGAAGGACCAAGAGCAUGAGACAACUUCCUGAGAAAUAUGGCCAUCCACUCAUUUUCAGCAGCAUAAGCUUUAAGAUUCUGCUGAGUCAAAUCUUCAUUCUUUUCAAUCAAGGCUUCAACUCUUGUUUCUUGCAUCUUCACCCUUUCCUGCAGGCCUGCAUUUUAAGCAUUCAACUUCCUAACUGAAAUAGUUCCCUCUUUACCUCCGUUCACAGAUGUUGCCUUCAGUUCAGUAAUCUCAGCAUCUCUCUGAGCAACAAGGGUUUAUAUAGCAUCAAGCUCCUCCCUCAGACUUUUCUGAAUAUCAAUCAACUCAGAAACAGUAGUCUAGGACUUUCCACCUGCUCUUCUAGGGAUAUAUUCAUUGUCUUCUAGAGUAGUGAUAUUGAACGUCUGCUAGACAAAAUCAGCCUUUCCCUUUUCACAUUCAACAUUAAAAUAUGAAAAGACCCGUUUUAGCCGGAAUCCAUAAACUAACCCAUGCUUUCCAUCUUUUACAGUCAUGACAGUGUUGAUGUUUUCAAUCAUAAUUAAUGGAAGAUUGACUUUCUGGUAUUUGUACUAGACUUCCAUAAGGUAUAGAUCAGGUCCAGUCACAUUAGACUUGACCAGACUUGAAGGAAGACUCAGACUUGUCAGCAGAUGGGAUUUUGGAGAUUAUUCCAACCCCUGAUCAGAAGGAACUAGUUGGUUAGAGGUUGGGUCUUUGGAAAAGAAACCUUGGGGUCUUCUUAUAUUUUUUUGGAAGGGUUAUUUCGAGGAUCAUUUUUAGGGAUUGUGUUUUUAGACGAAUGAACUUUGGGGUCUUCUUAUUUAUCUGGAGGGGAGUUAAUUUGGGAGUCAGACCUAGCAUCAGUAUUAUGAUCCUUUUUAGUGAAGGUCAUUAGUUGUUUCUUUCUUCUCCUGAGUGUUGAAAUCUCUAGCAAUUUUUCUACGAGAAAGAGGAGUAAACGUUGAAAUGGAAAAAGAAUUCUCUGUUUCAAAGUCAAAAGGGAUAGAUUGAGUAUCAAACACUUUCAAUGGAAUAGGCUCAUCCUUUUGAGAGAAUGUGGGAGGGUUUGACAUUGUAAGGAUUUGGUAGACUGAGAUGGAUGAAGCAAGAUAAAAUCUAUAAGGAACGGUUUGGGAAAUGAUAGGUUGUAGGAGAGAG